rnacentral:misc_RNA from 1 species
UAUCUGAAGUAUUUUUGUUUGGCAACGUCAUAUACUCAUAUGGAUCGCAUGUUCGCAUCAUUCGUCAAUUCGUCUGUGGCUUGUUCUGGUCUGAUCUGUUCGUUCGUAUUGUUUCUCCCAAGUCCCAACAUUGGUAAGAGUGAGUGACUCACACUGCGUUGAAGAAUAGAAGGAAAUUAAUCAUUUUAUAAAUAAACAAUUAUGUGAAGGUUCAAUCAAUCAAGUAUCAGGAAAGUUCAAAGUGAUAAAUUAUUGAAGUUUGAAUCUGGUUCAAACAUGGACAUAAAUUUCAAAAGUUGUUUUAAAACUAGGUAACAUGAACCAGAAUUCACAUUCACAUUGUCCUCAAUGCUAAUGAGGACAAUAUACAAAGAGCUUGUGGGCUAGGCUGCAGGCCGAAGAAGAAAUGCAAGAUUGGGGUUACAACAUUUUCCAAUAUUGAAAAAUUUGCAAUCACUACUACGAUGAUUUAAGAUGAUUAAUUGCAACAGAAUCCAAAUCGAGUAACAAAAAAAUUAUUGAAGAACAUCCAGAACAAGUCAUCUUUGUUGAAAGUUAAAUCAAGCUUCCGCAAUGAAGUGCAGACUCACGGAUUAGGGUGUGUUAACUGUUGACUCCACAGUCCACACAAUUCUAUAAAACCAGGAAAGAAAGAUCUCAUUCUCAUGCAGUGGCAAUAGUUGAAGAAAAGUUGUCCCAAAAUCAAGAAUUGACACAGAACUUGACACUUGUAACUUCAAGCAACCCUUAAACUUGUGUAACUUAAAGUUUGAAAAGGAUUUGAAUAGAGAAAACUCUCAAAACAUUUGAGAAAGAGCUGAAACACGGAAUUCCAAUGGGUCAAAACUGGAGAGUUCUCAUUCAUUGGCGCCUACCACAUCUUAUUGGUCUCGGUCUACAACGGAAGAAGAAAAUGCAACGAUGUAGGGCGUUGAUAAAGUUGCACUCAUCCCCUGACUGCAGAAGAAGAGAGAUCCAGGUCUUCUAUUUAAUGGCUUCAACCCGAUGGCUUUCACGUGACACGAGUCUUCACAUAUUGCUGGAUUCGAUUGACGACUCGUUUUCAUAAAAAAAGGACAACCACGCAAGCGGACCUCAGGCGAGAGACGAUUUUGAAAAUGGUUUAUCCCGACUGCUAGUUCAGCAGACGAAUCUAGGUUUAGAACUUGAUAACAUUACUGGACUGGACACUCAAAGCCUUCAAUCAAUUCCUGCUGAAAAAUGAAACUUCGUUCUCGGCCUACGUUAGAAGAGUCUUUGCAGGUCGACCAUCCGUGCAACUAGAACACGCCCGAAGAAAAAUUACCGACUUCGACGAAUCUUUAUACGCUCACGUGUUCACUGAAGAAGUUGAUCGUUUUAUCGUGAGACGUGAUCGGCAGGCAGUGCUAUUGCAGAAGAUUUUGCACUUGACGUCAUCCCCGAAUUUGUUUUCAAAAAUGCUUAUUUGGAAUUGGGUAAUUCUCUGGUGGUCCUUCAGCGAAAAUCGAUAAUUUGGCAGCCAUCGUCGCUUCUGCCCCAAUUACAAGAACCCAUCCUUGCCGAUUUGUUUGAAUUACAGAAGAAAAAUCGAACGUUGGCUGAGGCUCGGUCUGUUCUCAUUUCUGCCAUGACACGUCUUCCCUCGUGAUACCAAGCCACUAAUCACAAGCAAAGUGGGCAAUCAUCCAGAUUCACACUCACAUUUCCUAAACUGAAAUUAGAAACGAAACUAAACGUUAAUCAGUAAUACGCAAGACUUCCGCGUCUUUGGGUGCUGUACAAGAAGGUCGGCGGUGCGGGGACCAUCUAGCAUGGUUAGACAGUCAAAAUCAAAUCAAAUGCGUUAGAUACAUCAGGGGAGGUCCUACGUGACGAUCUUUGAAACGAAGAUCUGGAAGAGACGAUCUUGAAGUGAGAAGAAGUUGUACAAGGAAGGUCAGCCGGGGGGGUAUCGGCCUUUCGUCUUAUGACCUUAUUAAUAAUAUUUAAACCUUUUCUGGUACGAGAUUGAUUUCUUUCCUUCGAUUAAUGCUUAUUUCAAGGUGAUCCCGUACACUGAUUUGUCGUUUUUUUGUUUACCUGUUUAAUUACCAUUGCCAACCUGUCGAGGAUGGUUUACACCAGUUUACGCAACACGCUUAUGGGUGACAACCAACAUCUCUUUUAUGAGAGAACGAAAAACCAGGUGGGAGCAAGAGUGGACUGGUUAGUCUAUAUAAACCCCGUUUGGCUGUGGACGGGUCCAUCGAGUGUUCAACUCAAGAACGAAUUCCACCGACAUAUUCCGGCGUAACAAGUAUUUUGUACAGACAUUUUGGCGUAACAGUCGUUUGUUACUCUUCACUCAUCAACCACGAAAGAUCGCAGUUAAUUAACCAAAAACAGUUUGUUUCGCCAUAACAAAGAGUCAAGGGAAAGCCCCGGACAAACCCGUUCUUGUUAUAAGAACAUCAAGCAUUCAAGGAAAUGUUUGCUUCAGCAAUAAUAUUUGCAGCUGCUGUCCCACUGGUAUUGGCAAACAACGCGCCAACCUAUUCUAGUGAUGUCUCCAGUACGGAAGACCAUUCUUGUGAGAGUUGUCCUCCGCUUAAUGGUGCAAAAGUUCCACAAAAUGGAAAACCGUCUAAUUCUUCUUAUCCUGAUGAUGGCUGUGGAGACUAUUCUGUCCGAUUUAAGGGCGAUGGGUACUGUUAUCCUCUUCUGAAGAUAGGCCCUUGCGAGAAUGUGUUAUUUUGGAUUACGGUCGACCCGUAUACUUACGAGGGAAUAUGCACUCCUCGCCUUUGUGGCAGAGAAAAAGUGUUCGUCGGUCGAGAUGGUCUAUGUCACGAUAUUUACGAUACUAAAGAGUGUCGUGGAGGUAGGCGUCUUUAUUACUCGGCUUACGGAGAUCCAAUUUGUGAUUGUCCUGUUGGGCAAUAUCCAUUCCCAUCAGAGGAAGACGAUUGCGUUCCUUUAUUUACCCAAGGACCGUGUCCAACCAAUCAGGUUGUAUCCGUUAGUUCAUCGGGUAAAUUAGAGUGUUUCCCCAACACUUGUCAACUCGUUGAUAGAUACCAGGACUUUCUCCUGCAAUUGGUCCCAGUUAAACAAUCAAGAAUAAGUAACGAUGACGAAGACGAUGAAUAUGGAUACUGCUGUGCGUUAGGCACUCGUGGACCUUGCUCACCUUCUGAACUUUUUGGUUACAACAUCUUUCACUGUCAGGGAGAGUGUGUUGACAUGGAUGACCCUAGAACGCCGUACUUUUUUUCUCCGGAAGAGAACGCAAUUUUAGAUGACAUCUUUGAUUGGGCCGCAAACGAACCCAUAACAACAAAGAAUAACAAAACCAAGUAGAAUUCCAACAUCUCUCCUAAAUCCCUGUCAACCCGGCGGUCGAAACGGAAAUAAUUUCAAGUGUGCAAAUCCUUUGGUUCCCAGUAGACCCAGACGCGACGUUAGUAAGCCUGUCAGUCCUGCUUUCGGUUGCCCAUCAAAUGAUUUCUUGCAAGCUACUGGACAAUGCGGUAGCAACCGUGGGCCAGCUAGCUGCGGAUCUUCUUACAAGUUCAUCAAAGCUACAAACCAAUGUGGACCAAUUCGCUUUUGAAUUAAAUUCGCUUUUGAAUUAAAGAAGAUAGUGGAUAAUCCUGAAAUUCAACACAACUGAUUUUCUAAUUGAUGCGAAAAUACAAGUUUCUUAAUAUCGCACAGUUAGUAAAAUCACUCAAGUUUUCUUUUGUUCAAGGACUUCAAGCUGACUUAAUUUAACUAAGAUAUUUUAUAGUAUGCUUACUUAUACCAACAUGAUGAAUAGGUGACUGCUGUAUGAGACGAUUUCUGGAUAUUGACGAUUUUAAAGCUGAUGAUUUUGUUAUGAAGGGAUGAUUCCCCUUCCGAAGAUUCCCAUGGACAUGGCUGUUUAAAUUUCGUGAUCUUUUGAUAAAUACAUCAGAUUAAUGCACUUA